CCAGCCAUGUUGUCCUGGAAGAGGCUCUCCUAGAGGCCGGGGGCGGGGCGGCGCCGCCCCUGAUUGCGGUGCCAGGGCUGCUCCAGGGCUUUGGAGCGGACUGACUGCAAGGCGGAGGCUGUGGCCGUCACGGAGCUCCUAGGAAGACAGAAAUAAGAAUCAAGUGCUACAAUGACAACCUAUUUGGAAUUUAUCCAACAAAAUGAAGAACGAGACGGGGUCAGGUUCAGUUGGAAUGUUUGGCCAUCUAGUCGUCUGGAAGCUACAAGAAUGGUUGUUCCAGUGGCAGCCCUGUUUACACCUUUGAAGGAGAGACCUGACUUACCACCCAUUCAGUACGAGCCUGUCCUGUGCAGUAGGACGACUUGCCGUGCAGUUUUGAAUCCUUUAUGCGUGGUCCCCAGAUGCCUUUGAUAUUUCUCUAUGUGGUUGAUACUUGCAUAGAGGAUGAAGAUUUACAGGCUCUGAAGGAAUCCAUGCAGAUGUCGUUGAGCCUUUUGCCACCUACAGCUUUGGUUGGCCUUAUUACUUUUGGGAGAAUGGUGCAGG
rnacentral:lncRNA from 1 species